rnacentral:rRNA from 1 species
GAUGAACGCUGGCGGCGUGCCUAAUACAUGCAAGUCGAGCGAACGGACGAGAAGCUUGCUUCUCUGAUGUUAGCGGCGGACGGGUGAGUAACACGUGGAUAACCUACCUAUAAGACUGGGAUAACUUCGGGAAACCGUAGCUAAUACCGGAUAAUAUUUUGAACCGCAUGGUUCAAAAGUGAAAGAGGGUCUUGCUGUCACUUAUAGAGGGAUCCGCGCUGCAUUAGCUAGUUGGUAAGGUAACGGCUUACCAAGGCAACGAUGCAUAGCCGACCUGAGAGGGUGAUCGGCCACACUGGAACUGAGACACGGUCCAGACUCCUACGGGAGGCAGCAGUAGGGAAUCUUCCGCAAUGGGCGAAAGCCUGACGGAGCAACGCCGCGUGAGUGAUGAAGGUCUUCGGAUCGUAAAACUCUGUUAUUAGGGAAGAACAUAUGUGUAAGUAACUGUGCACAUCUUGACGGUACCUAAUCAGAAAGCCACGGCUAACUACGUG